CGGGGCGAUCUGCGAGCUAGCGUACUGCAGCGAGAGGUUCGUCAUCGCGCUGUCGUUCAGGAAAAUCAUCACUGCCGAGUACAGGCCAAUCUUUAGCUGGUUGCUGUCCGCCUGCUCGGGCGCCGGGUUCUUCACCAUGAGCAGGUCCAGGGGCUGGAGCAGACCGCGCGCGAGGCUGACGUGCGUCUCCACAUUUAGGUUGAAGUUCACGGCAAACAGCAUGGCCUGCUCGGCCAGCACCACCGCGUCCUUGAACUGCUCCAGCGUGGUCUGUAUGACACACGGCGAGGAGAAGGCCGCGCCGUUGGGUCAGUGGCAAGCGCGGCGAGCAAGGCCACAGCCCGCUGCCGCAGCAUCGCCCAGACCCAACGUUACCCAACGGAACGUCCGCAACCCGCAAAAAUCUAAACCGGUAUGGGACCAUGCGGCCCGCUGACACGGUGGUAUUUCUUGCGGCAUGCUAAGCACACGCCCUACGCAUCUUCGGGAACCUAGCUUCUGGACGCGCCAAACACCGACCUG
rnacentral:lncRNA from 1 species